rnacentral:rRNA from 1 species
CCGCAAGGCAAGUAAAGUGGCGUACGGGUGAGUAACACGUGGAUGAUCUGCCUUUUAGUGGGGAAUACCGUUGGGAAACCGACGACAAUACCGCAUAAUCCCGAGAGGGGAAAGAAGCAAUUCGCUGAAAGAGGAGUCCGCGGUCGAUUAGUUAGUUGGCAGGGUAAAAGCCUACCAAGACUGUGAUCGAUAGCCGGCCUGAGAGGGCACACGGCCACACUGGCACUGAAACACGGGCCAG